GAUCAGAAAACCUUCCACUUCCAGGGUGAGCGGAAAAGAGAGGUUCUCUCCUCAGUCCUACCUGCCUCCCUUCUCUCGUGGGUUGCUUGCUGAGUGACUUGAAUGGUUUUGCAACUGACCCUGCAUGAACGAGUGCACAGGAACCUUCUGGAUGAAGUGGUACUGCAGGUUAGGCAGGGAUUUGUAUCUGCAGUGGAUGCACAUUAAUUUGAAGCGACUGUGGAUCUGGCUGCGAUUGGAGAUUAAAAAUUUACAGGAUAAAAAUCAGUGAGAAGCGAGAGUAAUGGGCUGCUGCUGCUGCUGCUGGCUUGUGCUUACAGAAGGUUGCUGAUGUUCUUUAUCGAGGAGUGUGGUUCUGCCUCUGCAUGAAGAGUCUGAAGGACUGAUUGGGAAGGCUGCAGUGUUUGUCCGUGUGAAGCUCAAAAUGUAAAUUCAACUGAAGCUAGAGGCAGCCUUUGCCUGAAAGGUUUUGCUCUGCUUCAAGACUCCAAGUUUGCAUUCAUUCCAUCUGCAUUUCUGUGUCUUGUCUGCCAGCCAUCAUUGCUCUGCCAUUAUCCUUUCUGUAGUUAAUAACUCCAAUGCCAUCUGCCACUGCUAUGUUUCGGCAUUGCAUGCUAUGGCUCACCGGUAGAAGGGGUAAGGUACUGUAUGGUUGCUCUCAUUCCAUCUUGCUUUGAAAGCUCUAAACCAGCAGAUGAAAGCUGAUUUUAGUGGUCUAGUCCUAAGGACCUGUCGUCUGUGAGGAGUGCCUAUUAGUUUUGGUACUGUUGUUCUGUUGUCUUUUCUAUCCAGAAUAAUGUCUGUUUUAGGUUUAAAGCAAUCCAGGAAACUUAGAAAUGAGACUAUUUGGAGAUGUUAGUACUUUCUCUGAACCUGUACGUGUGAUCACUGUUGCGGUUGCCAGAUACAGAGCAAGGUGAAUGAGUACCAAGUACAGUUACAGCUUAAAAAUGUUUUAGUUGUGAGGUCUGCUGGUGGCCAUAUGUGCUAUGUGAAGGCGCUUAGGUCACUGUCAUCCUACACUGGGACAGUACAUCACAGCUGGUUUUCUUCAUUGUCUUGUUUAAGAGAUCGUCACAUAGAAAUGAAAGAUGUUGCCUAUGAACAAUAAAGACAGGCCAGGGUACUCAGCAGCGACAUUUCUAAUGUCUCAUCAUGCUUAUCCUUAACAUAUUAACUGUUUUUGAGAAUAUUACUUGUUUAGAAUUUCUUAAAUGAUGGUGCUCCCCUGGAAAUUUCCAUCCAUUUAACUUCAUAAAACAUUUUAAUCGUGUUAUAAAACAGCUCUGAUUUUCCGGUUAAAUAUGCAGUGCUGCUCAUAAGCCAAAGCAGGCAACUGGGACCCUUUACUCGAUUGGAGUUGAAUACUUCAGUGCAGUUCUAGCAGGAGCUACUGGAUGCAGGGCUGCAGCGCAGGGCUCUGCAGUUGCCGGGGAGGCCCCUCUGGGCUCCUGAAGCUUUGUUUGCUUGGUGGAAGGGCAGCCUUGGAUCUCUGAGCAAAGGCUCCUUACCUUAAAUUAUUUAUGUCGAACUGACCUCUUUAGCAGUUUUCUAUUUAUGUGGCUUGCUGAUAAAACAAGACAUUAUUUAAGUGAUAAAGAUAAAUAGGAAUUUUCAAAGUGAACUCUUAAGUUUCCAGAAUGUUAGAUUGUUUGUUUUCUACUGUAACAUUUGUGGGGUGUCACACAGCAGGAACUUAUAUGAAGAACUUAAAUUGCUCAUUUAUUUAGGUGAUUAGGAAAAUUACUUCAGACUUAGAGAUACUUGCUUAGAAGAUCGACAAAUUUAAUACAAAACAUAUUCAGUGUUUGAUAGAGCUUACAUUUUAUAGUACUUUUUUAAAAAAAUCUUCAAUUGCUGACAAGAACUGGAAGCAAAUUUAGGUUCAUACAUAUUGUAAUAACAUGUCUGAGUGUUACCUUUUUUCCUGUGCUGAGAUAGAACCCAGGGUCUACAUAGUGACUUUCAGGCCUGCCUGGGCUACAGAGUAAGACCCUAUUGCCAAAAAUUAAAAAUAAAAAAGAAAGAAAGAUAAAAAGGAGUUUUAUUGCUAUGAAAGCCCAUUAGGAAAUUUUGAUCAGAGAGUGACGUGAUGAGAUUCCUAUUUUACGGGGUAGCUCUGGCCACUAUCUUGUGAAUAAGGUGUGGAGGGGUACAGACUAGGAAACCAUUUAGGAACUCGUUGUAGACAAGAAAUAAGGGAGUGCUAGUGUCCAUACUGCACCAGUGGGGGUGGGGAGGGAGCGAACAGUGGUCGGAUUAAUCAGCUUUAGUAGCAUACAAUUAACAUGAACUAAAAUGCAUGCCUGAGGGACUGGUGAGACCAUGGCUCAGUGGGCAGAGCUCAUGCUGCAAAGUGUGAUGACCUUGAUCCCUGGGACACCGUCAAAGGUGGCAGAGAGGUGGCCUCUGGUUCCUCACACAUGCUGUGGUGUUCAUGAACUCCCUCUGUCAUAUGUGCGUGCAUGUUUCACGUACACUGAAACACAUGGUGAUAAUAAUGAUAACGGCAGUAGUAGUAGUAGUAGCAGUAGUAGUAGUAGAAGUGAAAAAUUUUCAAAAGACCUUCAGAUUAAAAUAUUUAAAAAUAUAUGUCUCAUAUAAUUCAGUUUUUGUCAGCCUAUUUAUAUAUAGCUGCCACCACAAUCAACAUAUGGAACAUUUCUGCCACUCCAAAAGAUUGUUUCCCUUUCAGACACCCCCCCUUCUAAGCCCUGGUCCAGGCGACACUGAUCUGCUUUCUGUCGGUAGAGGUGAGCAUGCCCCCUAGGGAGCGCCAAACGAAUGGGAUCAUAGCAUGUGUCCUUGUCUUCCUUUUAGCUCAGAGCAGUGUUUUAUAGUCCACCCGUAUCGUUGUAUGGCUUUCUUACGUCUCCACUGGUAAGUCAUCUUCUCUUCAGUGAUGCGUUCAUUUUGAACGUUGAGUUGCAGCACAUGACAGAAAGGCAAGUUGAGGUUGAUUGGGUUAAAAAAAAAUGGAGUUGCAAUUAACUAAAGUGGACAGUUCCACUGUCCUACAGUUUGAAGGACUCAUUGGCAUAGAGACAGUGUUUAUGGCCUUGAGAAUUUGGGGACAACAGU
rnacentral:lncRNA from 1 species